rnacentral:rRNA from 1 species
GACGAACGCUGGCGGCGUGCUUAACACAUGCAAGUCGAACGGAAAGGCCCUGCUUUUGUGGGGUGCUCGAGUGGCGAACGGGUGAGUAACACGUGAGUAACCUGCCCUUGACUUUGGGAUAACUUCAGGAAACUGGGGCUAAUACCGGAUAGGAGCUCCUGCUGCAUGGUGGGGGUUGGAAAGUUUCGGCGGUUGGGGAUGGACUCGCGGCUUAUCAGCUUGUUGGUGGGGUAGUGGCUUACCAAGGCUUUGACGGGUAGCCGGCCUGAGAGGGUGACCGGCCACAUUGGGACUGAGAUACGGCCCAGACUCCUACGGGAGGCAGCAGUGGGGAAUAUUGCACAAUGGGCGGAAGCCUGAUGCAGCAACGCCGCGUGCGGGAUGACGGCCUUCGGGUUGUAAACCGCUUUCGCCUGUGACGAAGCGUGAGUGACGGUAAUGGGUAAAGAAGCACCGGCUAACUACGUGCCAGCAGCCGCGGUGAUACGUAGGGUGCGAGCGUUGUCCGGAUUUAUUGGGCGUAAAGGGCUCGUAGGUGGUUGAUCGCGUCGGAAGUGUAAUCUUGGGGCUUAACCCUGAGCGUGCUUUCGAUACGGGUUGACUUGAGGAAGGUAGGGGAGAAUGGAAUUCCUGGUGGAGCGGUGGAAUGCGCAGAUAUCAGGAGGAACACCAGUGGCGAAGGCGGUUCUCUGGGCCUUUCCUGACGCUGAGGAGCGAAAGCGUGGGGAGCGAACAGGCUUAGAUACCCUGGUAGUCCACGCUGUAAACGGUGGGUACUAGGUGUGGGGUCCAUUCCACGGGUUCCGUGCCGUAGCUAACGCUUUAAGUACCCCGCCUGGGGAGUACGGCCGCAAGGCUAAAACUCAAAGGAAUUGACGGGGCCCCGCACAAGCGGCGGAGCAUGCGGAUUAAUUCGAUGCAACGCGUAGAACCUUACCUGGGUUUGACAUGGAUCGGGAGUGCUCAGAGAUGGGUGUGCCUCUUUUGGGGUCGGUUCACAGGUGGUGCAUGGCUGUCGUCAGCUCGUGUCGUGAGAUGUUGGGUUAAGUCCCGCAACGAGCGCAACCCUUGUUCACUGUUGCCAGCACGUUAUGGUGGGGACUCAGUGGAGGCCGCCGGGGUCAACUCGGAGGAAGGGGGGGAUGACGUCAAGUCAUCAUGCCCCUUAUGUCCAGGGCUUCACGCAUGCUACAAUGGCUGGUACAGAGAGUGGCGAGCCUGUUAGGGUGAGCGAAUCUCGGAAAGCCGGUCUCAGUUCGGAUUGGGGUCUGCAACUCGACCUCAUGAAGUCGGAGUCGCUAGUAAUCGCAGAUCAGCAACGCUGCGGUGAAUACGUUCCCGGG